rnacentral:rRNA from 1 species
GUCUACGGCCAUGCCACCCUGAACAAGCCCGAUGUCUGAUCUUGGAAGCUAAGCGGGGUCGGGCCUGUCCAGUACUUGGAUGGGAGACCACCUAGGAAGACCGGGUGCUGUAGGUG